CGUCAAUUGCAAGGCCAGGGCAGAAAAGUGAGCACUAAAUGUUUGCUAGACCUCCAUUUUUUGCUUCUAUUCGCUGUGGACUGCUUAGAAAGAACCUGGGAGACCUCCAAACUACGCAAUGGUUGAUCCCAGAGCUGUUGAGGUCAUUGGACGUGGAGCUGGCACAAGAUCUUGACCCUGCACUCUGGAUCCACUCAGCACCCCACAGUUCAGUGUUGUAAACCAAGACUUAGGUGCUUGUACAUGGCCAGGACUUGAAUACACAGGUGGCCAAGUCCCACAGGGCUGCUCA
rnacentral:lncRNA from 1 species